rnacentral:rRNA from 1 species
AACGAACGCUGGCGGCAUGCCUAACACAUGCAAGUCGAACGAGACUUCGGUCUAGUGGCGGACGGGUGAGUAACGCGUAGGAACCUACCAAGUAGUGGGGGAUAACAGCUGGAAACGGCUGCUAAUACCGCAUACGCCCUUCGGGGGAAAGAUUUAUCGCUAUUUGAGGGUCCUGCGUUCGAUUAGCUUGUUGGCGGGGUAACAGCCCCCCAAGGCUACGAUGGUUAGCCGGCCUGAGAGGGUGAUCGGCCACACUGGAACUGAGACACGGUCCAGACUCC